rnacentral:rRNA from 1 species
GAUGAACGCUGGCGGCGUGCCUAAUACAUGCAAGUCGAGCGAACGGACGAGAAGCUUGCUUCUCUGAUGUUAGCGGCGGACGGGUGAGUAACACGUGGAUAACCUACCUAUAAGACUGGGAUAACUUCGGGAAACCGGAGCUAAUACCGGAUAAUAUUUUGAACCGCAUGGUUCAAAAGUGAAAGACGGUCUUGCUGUCACUUAUAGAUGGAUCCGCGCUGCAUUAGCUAGUUGGUAAGGUAACGGCUUACCAAGGCAACGAUGCAUAGCCGACCUGAGAGGGUGAUCGGCCACACUGGAACUGAGACACGGUCCAGACUCCUACGGGAAGCAGCAGUAGGGAAUCUUCCGCAAUGGGCGAAAGCCUGACGGAGCAACGCCGCGUGAGUGAUGAUGGUCUUCGGAUCGUAAAACUCUGUUAUCAGGGAAGAACAUAUGUGUAAGUAACUGUGCACAUCUUGACGGUACCUAAUCAGAAAGCCACGGCUAACUACGUG